CUUGUUCCCAUAAGAGGUCCAGCCUGCCCAGUGACCUAGUUCAACGGCCGCGGUAUCCUAACCGUGCGAAGGUAGCGUAAUCACUUGUCUUCUAAAUAAAGACUAGUAUGAAAGACACCACGAGAACUUAACUGUCUCCCUUUUCUAAUCAGUGAAACUAAUCUCCCCGUGAAGAAGCGGGGAUCCUCAAAUUAGACGAGAAGACCCUAUGGAGCUUUAAACACUAACCACUUGCCCACACAUUAACUACCCCGGUUUCUUAAUCAACGCAAUAUGAUGACGUGUUUUUGGUUGGGGUGACCGCGGAAAAUAACUAAACUUCCACAAUGAUAACCAUUCAAACUAUAAGCCACAGCUUUAAGUAUCAACAAAUUGACAUUCAUUGACCCAAUAUAUUGAUUAAUGAAC
rnacentral:rRNA from 1 species